CGAACGCUGGCGGCGUGCUUAACACAUGCAAGUCGCGCGGUAAGGCCUUUCGGGGUACACGAGCGGCGAACGGGUGAGUAACACGUGGGUGAUCUGCCCUGCACUUCGGGAUAAGCCUGGGAAACUGGGUCUAAUACCGGAUAUGACCUCCUAUCGCAUGGUGGGUGGUGGAAAGAUUUAUCGGUGCAGGAUGGGCCCGCGGCCUAUCAGCUUGUUGGUGGGGUAAUGGCCUACCAAGGCGACGACGGGUAGCCGACCUGAGAGGGUGACCGGCCACACUGGGACUGAGACACGGCCCAGACUCCUACGGGAGGCAGCAGUGGGGAAUAUUGCACAAUGGGCGAAAGCCUGAUGCAGCGACGCCGCGUGAGGGAUGACGGCCUUCGGGUUGUAAACCUCUUUCAGCAGGGACGAAGCGCAAGUGACGGUACCUGCAGAAGAAGCACCGGCUAACUACGUG
rnacentral:rRNA from 1 species